rnacentral:rRNA from 1 species
GGCACGCUUAACACAUGCAAGUCGAACGGAGAUAUCUUGGUUUACUGAGAUAUCUUAGUGGCGGACGGGUGAGUAACACGUGAGCAACCUGCCUCUGAGAGAGGGAUAGCUUCUGGAAACGGAUGGUAAUACCUCAUAACAUAACGAAGCCGCAUGACUUUGUUAUCAAAGAUUUAUCACUCAGAGAUGGGCUCGCGUCUGAUUAGAUAGUUGGUGAGGUAACGGCUCACCAAGUCGACGAUCAGUAGCCGGACUGAGAGGUUGAACGGCCACAUUGGGACUGAGACACGGCCCAGACUCCUACGGGAGGCAGCAGUGGGGAAUAUUGCACAAUGGGGGGAACCCUGAUGCAGCGAUGCCGCGUGGAGGAAGAAGGUUUUCGGAUUGUAAACUCCUGUCUUAAAGGACGAUAAUGACGGUACUUUAGGAGGAAGCUCCGGCUAACUACGUGCCAGCAGCCGCGGUAAUACGUAGGGAGCGAGCGUUGUCCGGAAUUACUGGGUGUAAAGGGAGCGUAGGCGGGACUGCAAGUCAGAUGUGAAAUACAUGGGCUUAACCCAUGGGCUGCAUUUGAAACU